rnacentral:rRNA from 1 species
CCCGGUCAAAUCUGCCCAGUGAUCCAUUUAACGGCCGCAGUAUUUUAACUGUGCUAAGGUAGCAUAAUCAUUUGCUUUUUAAUUGAAAGCUAGCAUGAACGAUUCGACGAGAAGUUAACUCUCUUUAACCUCCGAUUAACUUACUCGGGCGGUAAAAAAGCCCCCCUUCCCCGAUAGGACGACAAGACCCUACAAAACUUUACCCGACACUCGCAAUCCUAACUCCAAGCGACGAUCGAGUUUUGCUGGGGCGGCAAGUUUUAAUAACAACAAACCUCUUUACAACACCUUGAGUGACACCUACUAACCUUCCUAUAGAAUAAAAUAAGUUACUUUAGGGAUAACAGCGCUAUGUUCCUCUAGAGCCCUUAUCGACAGGAACGCUUACGACCUCGAUGUUGAAUUGAAGCGCCUACUUGGGGCAGCCCCCAAGUAAGGGAGUCUGUUCGACU